AGACACUAGAGCAGGGCUGUCCAACCUGCCGCCCUCCAGAUGUUGCUGAACUACAACUCCCAUGAUUCCCUGGCUCUCUUUUUAAUUGAAAGAAUCAUGGGAGUUGUAGUUCAGCAACAUCUGGGGGGCCGAAGGUUGGACAGCCCUGCACUAGAGGCU